AUGUGCGCUGAGUAUGAUGCUCUUGUCGCCAACCGGACUUGGACGCUGGUCCCUCGCCCUCCCGGCGCCAACAUCAUUACCGGCAAAUGGGUGUUUCAGCAUAAACUUCUACAGGAUGGUUCUCUGGACAGGUACAAGGCUCGUUGGGUCGUUCGUGGAUUUGCACAACGUGCCGGCGUUGACUUCUCGGAGACUUUCUCCCCGGUUGUUAAACCCGCCACGAUUCGUGUUGUCCUUCAGCUCGCCGCAUCUCGACACUGGCCCGUUCAUCAGCUUGACAUCAACAACGCCUUCCUCGACAGUCAUCGUCAGGAGCGUGUUCUUUGUCAGCAGCCAGCUGGUUUUGUUGAUCCCACUCCGCCUGAUGACGUUUGCCUGCUCUCACGGUCUCUCUAUGGCCUGAAACAGGCACCUCGUGCGUGGUAUCAACGCAUU
rnacentral:rRNA from 1 species